rnacentral:rRNA from 1 species
AUGGCGGCCGCCGCGGGUGACGGCGGCAGCGUCCCGCAGAAGACCACCGGGGCGGAGGCACCUUCCGCCUCUGACCCGCCCGUACCCCGGCAUAUCAUGCCGCACGAGGAGUGCGUCGCCGGCGUCCGCUCGGCUCUCAAAGAUCCGACGGUGCGGUUCCUGAGGGAGCGGAUGGAGAAAGCCGGGUGCACCGUGUGGCCGAUGCUGAUCCGGGCGGCCACCUGCGCCUCUGCCGGGGGCUACGCAAGCCGCGAGGGGAUAGAAGUUUGCUGUAAUCACAUGGAAUAUCCUGAUCAGAUAACUCAGACCAUAACUCAUGAGUUAAUACAUGCUUAUGAUGACUGUGUUGGCAAGAACAUGGACUGGACGAACUGCGCUCACCAUGCUUGCUCUGAGAUUCGAGCUAAUCAUCUUAGUGGCAAUUGCCAUUACAAACGUGAACUGAUGAAAGGCUUCCUGAAGAUAAGGGGGCAUGAGCCAGAAUGUGUUAAAAGACGUUCGCUGGAAUCUGUCAAGAACAACCCUUACUGUUCAGAGACAGCUGCAAAAGAUGCAAUUGAGGCUGUGUGGAAUAUAUGCUACAACGACACACGCCCGUUUGAUAGGGCUCCAUGA